rnacentral:rRNA from 1 species
CAGCAGCCGGUAGUAAUAAGGUAGGGUACCAGUCGUUCAAUAGGUAAUUACGGGGAGUAAAGCGUGCAGCAGGUGUUUUUUGCUAGAACGAGUAAAAAAUCCCGGGAGAACCAACGUGGGAAACUUCAUUAAUGACUACACGGGUAUACUGUGUCAGAAAGGGGGUAUAAAUACCACGUGUAGCAGUGAAAUGCGUAGAGAUGUGGAGGAACACUGAUGGAGAAGGCAGCCCCCUGGGAUAACAAUGACGCUCAUGCAAGAAAGCGUGAGCGAGCCAAACAGGAUUAGAUAUCCCUGGUAGUCCCACGCCCUAAACGAUGUCAACUAGUUGUUGGGGAUUCAUCUCCUUAGUAAGAGUAGCUAACGCGUGAGCAUUCCCCCCCGGGGGAGUACCGUCGCCAAGAUUAAAAACUCAAAGGGAAUUGAGGGGGGCCCCCCCACAAAGCGGGGGAUGAUGGGGAUAAUUUAGAUGCAACGGGAAAACACCUUCCCUUCCCUUGACCUUCCAAUAACCAAGCAGAGAUGCCUUAUCUGUUCGAAAGAGAAAGUGGACACAGGUGCUGGCAUGGCUGUCGUCAGCUCGUGUCGUGAGAUGUUGGGUCAAGUCCCGCAACGAGCGCAACCUUUGUCUUUAGUUGCUACGAAAGGGCACUCUAGAGAGACUGCCGGUGACAAACCGGAGGAAGGUGGGGAUGACGUCAAGUCCUCAUGGCCCUUAUGGCUAGGGCUUCACACGUCAUACAAUGGUGCAUACAGAGGGUUGCCAAGCCGCGAGGUGGAGCUAAUCCCAGAAAACGCAUCGUAGUCCGGAUUGUAGUCUGCAACUCCGAACUACCGUGAAG